rnacentral:lncRNA from 1 species
GUUAAUAGACUAGUUUGUUCUACUCUCUGGCCACUGGAGCCCGAGAUGGGUCUGGACUCCCUCAGCUGUGGGCCUGGCUAGCUGCACUGCAUUAGGGUCCACUUCCUGUGCAGUGGGGCAUCCGUACCGUCACACACACUUCAUGUUGUACUUGGAUAAGUACUGCUUUGAUCCAAGCUGAGUUGGAAACACCCAGAAUCUUAAGGUUGGCUAAGUCCCCACAGAGAUACUCUCAGCAGGUUAAGCUCUCAAUUCUCAGCUACUUGCAGCUGGCUGCCCUUGGCAUUAGUUUCCUGCUGUGUGCUGUGUUCUGCCUGAAGUUUCAAAUGAUCCCCCUCGUCCUGUGUCCGGAGUGUUUGGCUUCUCCUCAGGACCAUCCCAGCCCCUUUGAGUGAGAGACCCCACCGGAACCCCAUGAACACCUCAGAAGAGGUGCUCACCUGAGUCAGAAACUGGAACCAACUGAACUCACCAGAGGCUUGGGUUCAGCUCUCCCAGGUAUGUGGGUGCCCUCAUUACACCUCAGGUGCACGAGGGCCUGACUGCAGGACGUCAGCUGCCCCACACCGUGGCGGGCAUGCCUGCCUUCGAGGGUCGCCUGCUGUCUGCCGGCUUGAAGAAAUGCUGAGUCCCCAAGAAGGGUCUCAAGUGGCUAACAGGGCCUGGAUUCUGAGUGAAGCCUGCGAGCCAGUGGUUAGUUGUGGGGUUGCACAUAUCCCCUGUUCUGGGGAGAACCACAAACCCAAUGUUGCGCCCCUGGCUCAGCCUCUUUCUGUUUUAGUUGCCAAAAUACACUGCUCCAGAAAGGCUGGUUCUGCCACCCCAAACCUGACCCCAAAUCAAUCAAAACUGAGUGCUUCUCCUCUUCCUUUGCAUCGGUGGACCAGAGUGGGAGCCCGGACAGGGAGUCCUGCAGGUGCAGUCCACCCAGCUUAUGCGAACAGAAGCAGAAGUAAGAGUGAGAGUGUUCUCAGAGGCGCAGGCACAGGUGGAGUCGGGAGCCCUGUGCACCCCAAGGCUGCAGGCAGAAGAGGAUCAAAGCUACAGGCCCCUGGGAGUAGGCAGCAGCAGGAACUGCGACUGUGGAGGUAAAGAGCACUUCCGGAACCAGGAGGAUAGGAGUGGGGUAAACAAUGCUCCCACCCUCCCGGCCCCUGUAGCUCUUUUCUGUGCCUCCAGUCAGAAGCCACAGAGCAAGGGGGCCUACCUG